rnacentral:lncRNA from 10 species
AUAACGGCGCUGGCCCCGCCCCUUCUCGAGAACUCGCAGAGCUGGGCUGGUAAAAUUGCAGUGCUGAAGACACUGGACCCGCAAAAGGCUGUCCCUCCCAAACCUGGGAUUCUGGGCUCACUGAGUUCACCUGCGAGUCAGCCCUACCUGCACUGCUCUGGUCUAGUACAAACAGGCUGCUGGCAUUGAGGGACGGAGUCUCCAACUCCUGGCCUCUAGCAGUCCUCCUGUGUAGGUCUCCCAAAGUGCUAGUGUGUCCGGAAUUGGUGGGUUCUUGGUCUCACUGACUUCAAGAAUGAAGCCGCGGACCCUCGCAGUGAGUGUUACAGUUCUUAAAGGCAGCGUGUCCGGAGUUUGUUCCUUCUGAUGUUCAGAUGUGUUUGGAGUUUCUUCCUUCUGGUGGGUUCGUGCUCUUGCUGGCUCAGGAGUGAAGCUGCAGACCUUCACAUCAGUCUGACCCACAGUUGUCCUCUGCUGACUUCAGAAAUAAUAAUCUGGCCAGUAGACAUUUGGUUUCGGUCCUUUAGGCCCUUCGCCCCAGGCAUCG